rnacentral:rRNA from 1 species
AAUGGGCGGAAGCCUGAUCCAGCCAUGCCGCGUGUGUGAAGAAGGCCUUUUGGUUGUAAAGCACUUUAAGCGAGGAGGAGGCUCCUGUAGAUAAUACCUACAGUGAGUGGACGUUACUCGCAGAAUAAGCACCGGCUAACUCUGUGCCAGCAGCCGCGGUAAUACAGAGGGUGCGAGCGUUAAUCGGAUUUACUGGGCGUAAAGCGUGCGUAGGCGGCUGAUUACGGCGGAUGUGAAAUCCCUGAGCUUAACUUAGGAAUUGCAUUCGAUACGGGUCAGCUAGAGUAUGGGAGAGGAUGGUAGAAUUCCAGGUGUAGCGGUGAAAUGCGUAGAGAUCUGGAGGAAUACCGAUGGCGAAGGCAGCCAUCUGGCCUAAUACUGACGCUGAGGUACGAAAGCAUGGGGAGCAAA